GGUUAAGCGACUAAGCGUACACGGUGGAUGCCCUGGCAGUCAGAGGCGAUGAAGGACGUGCUAAUCUGCGAUAAGCGUCGGUAAGGUGAUAUGAACCGUUAUAACCGGCGAUUUCCGAAUGGGGAAACCCAGUGUGAUUCGUCACACUAUCAUUAACUGAAUCCAUAGGUUAAUGAGGCGAACCGGGGGAACUGAAACAUCUAAGUACCCCGAGGAAAAGAAAUCAACCGAGAUUCCCCCAGUAGCGGCGAGCGAACGGGGAGGAGCCCAGAGCCUGAAUCAGUGUGUGUGUUAGUGGAAGCGUCUGGAAAGGCGCGCGAUACAGGGUGACAGCCCCGUACACAAAAAUGCACAUACUGUGAGCUCGAUGAGUAGGGCGGGACACGUGGUAUCCUGUCUGAAUAUGGGGGGACCAUCCUCCAAGGCUAAAUACUCCUGACUGACCGAUAGUGAACCAGUACCGUGAGGGAAAGGCGAAAAGAACCCCGGCGAGGGGAGUGAAAAAGAACCUGAAACCGUGUACGUACAAGCAGUGGGAGCACGCUUCGGCGUGUGACUGCGUACCUUUUGUAUAAUGGGUCAGCGACUUAUAUUCUGUAGCAAGGUUAACCGAAUAGGGGAGCCGAAGGGAAACCGAGUCUUAACUGGGCGUUAAGUUGCAGGGUAUAGACCCGAAACCCGGUGAUCUAGCCAUGGGCAGGUUGAAGGUUGGGUAACACUAACUGGAGGACCGAACCGACUAAUGUUGAAAAAUUAGCGGAUGACUUGUGGCUGGGGGUGAAAGGCCAAUCAAACCGGGAGAUAGCUGGUUCUCCCCGAAAGCUAUUUAGGUAGCGCCUCGUGAAUUCAUCUCCGGGGGUAGAGCACUGUUUCGGCAAGGGGGUCAUCCCGACUUACCAACCCGAUGCAAACUGCGAAUACCGGAGAAUGUUAUCACGGGAGACACACGGCGGGUGCUAACGUCCGUCGUGAAGAGGGAAACAACCCAGACCGCCAGCUAAGGUCCCAAAGUCAUGGUUAAGUGGGAAACGAUGUGGGAAGGCCCAGACAGCCAGGAUGUUGGCUUAGAAGCAGCCAUCAUUUAAAGAAAGCGUAAUAGCUCACUGGUCGAGUCGGCCUGCGCGGAAGAUGUAACGGGGCUAAACCAUGCACCGAAGCUGCGGCAGCGACACUAUGUGUUGUUGGGUAGGGGAGCGUUCUGUAAGCCUGUGAAGGUGUACUGUGAGGUAUGCUGGAGGUAUCAGAAGUGCGAAUGCUGACAUAAGUAACGAUAAAGCGGGUGAAAAGCCCGCUCGCCGGAAGACCAAGGGUUCCUGUCCAACGUUAAUCGGGGCAGGGUGAGUCGACCCCUAAGGCGAGGCCGAAAGGCGUAGUCGAUGGGAAACAGGUUAAUAUUCCUGUACUUGGUGUUACUGCGAAGGGGGGACGGAGAAGGCUAUGUUGGCCGGGCGACGGUUGUCCCGGUUUAAGCGUGUAGGCUGGUUUUCCAGGCAAAUCCGGAAAAUCAAGGCUGAGGCGUGAUGACGAGGCACUACGGUGCUGAAGCAACAAAUGCCCUGCUUCCAGGAAAAGCCUCUAAGCAUCAGGUAACAUCAAAUCGUACCCCAAACCGACACAGGUGGUCAGGUAGAGAAUACCAAGGCGCUUGAGAGAACUCGGGUGAAGGAACUAGGCAAAAUGGUGCCGUAACUUCGGGAGAAGGCACGCUGAUAUGUAGGUGAAGCGACUUGCUCGUGGAGCUGAAAUCAGUCGAAGAUACCAGCUGGCUGCAACUGUUUAUUAAAAACACAGCACUGUGCAAACACGAAAGUGGACGUAUACGGUGUGACGCCUGCCCGGUGCCGGAAGGUUAAUUGAUGGGGUUAGCGCAAGCGAAGCUCUUGAUCGAAGCCCCGGUAAACGGCGGCCGUAACUAUAACGGUCCUAAGGUAGCGAAAUUCCUUGUCGGGUAAGUUCCGACCUGCACGAAUGGCGUAAUGAUGGCCAGGCUGUCUCCACCCGAGACUCAGUGAAAUUGAACUCGCUGUGAAGAUGCAGUGUACCCGCGGCAAGACGGAAAGACCCCGUGAACCUUUACUAUAGCUUGACACUGAACAUUGAGCCUUGAUGUGUAGGAUAGGUGGGAGGCUUUGAAGUGUGGACGCCAGUCUGCAUGGAGCCGACCUUGAAAUACCACCCUUUAAUGUUUGAUGUUCUAACGUUGGCCCGUGAUCCGGGUUGCGGACAGUGUCUGGUGGGUAGUUUGACUGGGGCGGUCUCCUCCUAAAGAGUAACGGAGGAGCACGAAGGUUGGCUAAUCCUGGUCGGACAUCAGGAGGUUAGUGCAAUGGCAUAAGCCAGCUUGACUGCGAGCGUGACGGCGCGAGCAGGUGCGAAAGCAGGUCAUAGUGAUCCGGUGGUUCUGAAUGGAAGGGCCAUCGCUCAACGGAUAAAAGGUACUCCGGGGAUAACAGGCUGAUACCGCCCAAGAGUUCAUAUCGACGGCGGUGUUUGGCACCUCGAUGUCGGCUCAUCACAUCCUGGGGCUGAAGUAGGUCCCAAGGGUAUGGCUGUUCGCCAUUUAAAGUGGUACGCGAGCUGGGUUUAGAACGUCGUGAGACAGUUCGGUCCCUAUCUGCCGUGGGCGCUGGAGAACUGAGGGGGGCUGCUCCUAGUACGAGAGGACCGGAGUGGACGCAUCACUGGUGUUCGGGUUGUCAUGCCAAUGGCACUGCCCGGUAGCUAAAUGCGGAAGAGAUAAGUGCUGAAAGCAUCUAAGCACGAAACUUGCCCCGAGAUGAGUUCUCCCUGACUCC
rnacentral:rRNA from 1 species